rnacentral:rRNA from 1 species
UACGAACCGUCCAAACGUUAUUCGGAAUUAUUGGGCUUAAAGGGUGCGUAGGCUGUGCAGUAAGUUGGGUGUGAAAUCCCUCGGCUCAACCGAGGAACUGCGCCGAAUACUGCUGUGCUAGAGGAAGAUAGGGGUAAGCGGAACUGAUGGUGGAGCGGUGAAAUGCGUUGAUAUCAUCAGGAACACCGGUGGCGAAGGCGGCUUACUGGAUCUUUUCUGACGCUGAUGCACGAAAGCUAGGGGAGCGAACGGG